rnacentral:rRNA from 1 species
AGAGUUUGAUCCUGGCUCAGAACGAACGCUGGCGGCGUGCUUAACACAUGCAAGUCGAGUGCGCGCCUGUAGCAAUACAGGUGGCGCACGGCGCACGGGUGCGUAACACGUGGGUAAUCUGCCCUCUGAUGGGGAAUAACCCGCCGAAAGGCGGGCUAAUACCGCAUAACAUUCCUUGGAUUUCGGUCCGGGGACUCAAAGGCGUAAGUCGUCGGAGGAGGAGCCCGCGCACGAUUAGCUAGUUGGUAGGGUAAUGGCCUACCAAGGCUUUGAUCGUUAGCUGGUCUGAGAGGAUGGCCAGCCACACUGGAACUGAGACACGGUCCAGACUCCUACGGGAGGCAGCAGUGGGGAAUCUUGCACAAUGGGCGAAAGCCUGAUGCAGCGACGCCGCGUGGGGGAUGAAGCAUUUCGGUGUGUAAACCCCUUUCGAUCCGGACGAAUACCUCGCAAGAGGGGUGACGGUACGGAUAUAAGAAGCCCCGGCUAACUACGUGCCAGCAGCCGCGGUAAGACGUAGGGGGCCAGCGUUGUUCGGAAUUACUGGGUGUAAAGGGUUCGUAGGCGGUGUGGCAAGUUGGGAGUGAAAUCUCUGGGCUCAACCCAGAGGCUGCUUCCAAAACUGCUGUGCUUGAGUGUGAGAGAGGCGCGUGGAAUUGCAGGUGUAGCGGUGAAAUGCGUAGAUAUCUGCAGGAACACCCGUGGCGAAAGCGGCGCGCUGGAUCACUACUGACGCUGAGGAACGAAAGCUAGGGGAGCAAACAGGAUUAGAUACCCUAGUAGUCC